UAACGGUAAAAGGGUCUUUUGCAUCUUUUUCAAUCAUAGUAUAUCAUUUCCAAACUUGGGCAUCAAGAUUUAUCGUCUUGAAAAUUUUCUCUCUCAACAUUUCAUGUCUCCUCCUUCUCUCUACUUUGGUCGAACCCCUCCAUGGUUCUUCUCUGAAUGUUUUCACAAAAAUUCACAUAAAUAUCUCUCAUUUUCUCAUCUUUACUCUCCUCUAAAAAGCCACCAAAUUCCUUUGUUGUUUUUAGAAGCUAGAAGAAGAAACUAAAGAGGUAAUCUUCUAAACUAUUGUUUUGUUAGUUUGUUAUUUUUAGUUAGUUUUGUUUCUUUAAGUUUUCAACUUGUUGGAUAGUGUAAAUCUGAUUGUGGGGUAUUUUGGAGUGUAAAUGUGAACGUGGAAAGCUUGAACAAGUGUUUGAGGAGCUAGAACUAAAGCCAAAAUAUCUUAGAGUCUACAACAGCUCUAUUUCAUCAUUAUCUUCAUCAAACAUCAAGAUGAGCUUUGGGAAUAUGCUAUUGAAUCUCUCAAGUUUUCUCUCCAUUUUCAACCCCAAGAACAACAAGGAGACUUGGAAGCUAAGUCUUGGACUUGGAAGGGUUUUCCCUAAGUUGGUUAGGGUUUUUAAAAGGUUUUGACGGAGCCAAAGCUAGUAGGAAGAUCCACACCUAUUAAGCAAGAACACCAAAGAGGUAAGUGCAAGGGCAAGGUAGAGAAGUGAGCGCUGGAGUCUAUCUCACAAAUGUACAUGGGCACCGACCUUUUGGGAAGCCGUUUGUAUUUUUGGAAAUGUUGUGUAAUUUUCCUAAACUAGGCUCACUCUAUUCUUUAUAUAAUAUGUUGCAACUAAAUGUUAAGUAUGGCCAUACGACUUUUUAAAAAGUUUUUUUUAUAUGGGUUUUUGAGACAUUUUGUUAAAUGAAAUCAUUUAUAUUUUUGCUUUA